UACGGAGGGUGCGAGCGUUAAUCGGAAUUACUGGGCGUAAAGGGUGCGUAGGUGGUUGAUUAAGUUAUCUGUGAAAUUCCUGGGCUUAACCUGGGCAUGUCAGAUAAUACUGGUUGACUCGAGUAUGGGAGAGGGCAGUGGAAUUUCCGGUGUAGCGGUGAAAUGCGUAGAGAUCGGAAGGAACACCAGUGGCGAAGGCGACUGCCUGGCCUGUUACUGACACUGAGGCACGAAAGCGUGGGGAGCAAAC
rnacentral:rRNA from 1 species